rnacentral:lncRNA from 1 species
AGAAAAUUGGUUUGGGAUCUGAUUAUUUAGUUGGAUAUCUCACAAGAAUAUUAAUCAAGUAAUAACAUGAACAAUUUGUAACUUGCUUUUUUAUUCCUUCUGAACUCCUUAGGUUUUUUUUUUUCUUCUUCUUAUUUUUUAAGCAAAAUAUUUGCAUUUGGAAAAUUAAAUGGAAGAAAAGAUCAGGUGCAGAAUGAUAGCUUUUACAGGACUUACGGUUCUAUGCUGACAUAAAAAGGAUAAAGCAGUGAUUUCAGAAAGAGAAAACCACUUGAUUAUAUUCUGCUCUGAUACAAUCACAGACCUGUAAGGUCACUAAUGUGCUCCUGACCACCAGACACACAGCACAGAGCACCAACCAUGGCUAUUUGCCCAUUAUAAUCAAGAGGAGAAGAUUAUAAUAUAUGCCAAGCCCAAACCUUCAAACAAUUUGCUAAAACUUGAGUGGAACAUAACUGACCUCAGAUGGCUCUGAUUUUAGGCUCAUUCCUGUCGUAAUCCAGACGCGCUCUUAAACAGCUUGUUCAGUUAUCCGACCUACCAGACCUACCACUCAACACCAGGUGCUUAAAAUGAAAAUAUUUAAAAUACUUUACUAGAUAGGUGAACCUGCUUUGGAUUAUCCCCAAUUCUGAGACAUGCAUGCAAACCCAAGAAUAUAAGUGAACAUAUUUUCAAGUAUCAUUACUAGCAAAAGUAGUAACUCCCCCUCAAUUUUUUUUUUUUUUUUUGCCUAGCAGCAGUGAAUUUCAAAUCCACCCCAGAAGUACCCCUUUUAAAGAUAUGAACUUCACACCACUAUACAGGACUAAAUGAAAUGUCAGAAGACACACAAAUGAAUAUACGAUCACUUAACUAAUUUACAAGGUUCAAUUCACUGUGAAAUUUACUAUAAGGGUUAAAUCACUUCGAACACCAUCUAAGAGACAUUUAGUUCCAGAAGCAUCAAGAGCUUGAGUUUAUGCAAUCCAAAGACAACUUAUUAACAGGCUGAAGUACAUAAAAUUUCACUUCUGUAAGUGUUCAUUUACU